ACCAAUACUUACUGAUUUUAAUUGUUCAUUGCUUAGUCAUGGUGAUUCUUUUAAUUAUUGAAUGCCAAUGAUAUUUUUUCUUAUAAAUGAUAAUGAGUAAUGGUUUGGGGUUUGGCUUGAAGCCUGAAACUUAAUUGAACUGAUUGUAUUUGCCCACCUAUCUGCAGUGGCUGAAGAUGAUGCUUCCUUGGUCAAGCAAAUUGGCCAGAGUUUCCAGUAUUCUAAAAUAGAGGCAAGAAGGGAGGAACAAAUCCAAGCUGCUCAUGACGAAGCCAUGUUUGGUACUUCAGCACUUCCACCUCCUACCAGUACUGACAGUGAUCCUGAAAGGGAGAAUGAGAAAGAAGUUGAUAAAAAAGCUGUUGUUACAAGUCUCUUAAGUGAAACGGAGUGCUGAAAUGGUGACCACAUGCUACUUUGAGGGCUCAAGAAUAUUUUGAUUUAUAGAGACACUAAUCUAUGUUAGAACUUUUAACUU